UGCGAGUCGAGAGGGUUCGGCCCUCGGCAGACUGCUCAGUAACACGUGGAUAAUCUGCCCUUAGGUGGAGGAUAACCUUGGGAAACUGAGAAUAAUACUCCAUAGAUCUAAGAUGCUGGAAUGCAUUUAGAUUGAAAGCUCCGGCGCCUAAGGAUGAGUCUGCGGACUAUCAGGUUGUAGUCAGGGUAAGGACCUGGCUAGCCUACAACGGAUACGGGUUGUGAGAGCAAUAACCCGGAGACGAUAUCUGAGACACGAUAUCGGGCCCUACGGGGCGCAGCAGGCGCGAAACCUUCACAAUGUGCGAAAGCGCGAUGAGGGGAUCCCAAGUGCUUGCACUUAAGUGUAAGCUGUUUCUUUGUUUAAAAUGCAGAGAGAGGAAGGGCUGGGUAAGACGGGUGCCAGCCGCCGCGGUAAUACCUGCAGCUCAAGUGGUGACCGCUAUUAUUGGGCCUAAAACGUUCGUAGCCGGCUGAGUAAAUGCUUGGGUAAAUCGUGCCGCUUAACGGUACGAAUUCCGGGUAGACUGCUCAGCUUGAGACCGGGAGAAGCUAGAGGUACUCCUGGGGUAGAGGUGAAAUUCUGUAAUCCUGGGGGGACCACCAGUGGCGAAGGCGUCUAGCUAGAACGGGUCUGACGGUGAGGGACGAAACCCUGGGGCGCAAACCGGAUUAGAUACCCGGGUAGUCCAGGGCGCAAACGCUGCUUGCUUGAUGUUAGCUGGGCUCCGGGCUCAGCUAGUGUCGGAGAGAAGUUGUUAAGCAAGCUGCCUGGGAAGUACGAUCGCAAGAUUGAAACUUAA
rnacentral:rRNA from 1 species